GUCUAUGACCAUACCACCCUGAACGCGCCCGAUCUCCUCUGAUCUCAGAAGCUAAGCAGGGUCGGGCCCGGUUAGUACUUGGAAGGGAGACCACCUGAGAAUACCGGGUGCUGUAGGCU
ensembl:rRNA 5S_rRNA 5S ribosomal RNA